GCCGCCGCCGCCGCCGGGCACCCAGCCCCAGGGGGGCGGGCUGGAGGGAGGGGGCGGGCGCUGGCCGGGGGACCCCCGCAACCAUGGCGGGCGGGGAGUGGGCUGCCGAGCCGCUUCACCUGCCGCAGAGGGGGCGGCCGGCGCCGCUUCACCUGCCGGAGCGGGAGGCCACCGAGGCGAGGCCGAGGCGGCGGCGCGCUCGGCGGCGCCUCCGGGUCCUAGAACCGCAUCCUCCCGCUCGCCUCGGGCGAGGGAUUGGCCGGGUCUGGGUGAAGGGGAUCACGGCCUGGGGAUUGGAGGGGCACAUCUUCUCCGCACCGAGGAUCUCAGCGACUGCGAGCACGGCUCGGAGACCCACGGUGGUGCAGCGUUGGGGCGCCAGGGCUGCGUUCCCGUCUCGCGUCCCGGACUGAGAAGAAAUACUUUCAGAGCUCUUUCAUUCAUCCUGACAAUGGCCAGAGAAGAGCCACUGACAAGACUUUAAGCAAGAGACGGAGAGUUAACAUCUAAUCUGGAGGAAGACCCUGGAAGGAGCCAGCCCCUUCCCCCAGGCUGACCUGGUUUAAGCCUUUCUUCUGCCAAGGUCACCAGCACCCCAGAUGGGUGAGAGAUGUGAUCACUGGUUUCGUGGCCUGACCAAGGACCUCCAAGGAGGUAUCUUUCCCAUCUUGGCCCACAGAGGAGGAAAUCCUAGAAGGGAUGACUGAAGCUUGGGACUAACACAUUGGUGGAUCUGUGCUACCCCCUGCUGGCCGUAGACGGUAUGACAGCCAAGAUAGGGCAAGGCUUCGAGGGGCGAUGGAUGGAUUCACCGCAGCGGCGACAUUUCUGGACUGUUGUCACCUUCAGUGCAGUCACUGGGAAUAUUCAGAACCCAGGUGAUUGAUAAGGUUUUCCCAGGGAUCUCUUCUCUCCCCUUCACCAUUACUCAGUAGGAGCUUCCUUAAAAACGGAAAACGAGAGGCCGGGCGCGGUGGCUCACGCCUGUAAUCCCAAAGUGCUGGGAUUACAGGUGUGAGCCACUGCACCCAACCCAACGCUAUCCUUUCUAUGUAACUCACUAGAGGACAGCCCCAGGGAGUGGACCAGCAAAGACCGCAUGAGCCAUACCCCAGUGACACAGGCUCCCAAACCCGGCCAUGUAUCACAAUCAGAAUCUGGGGGGAGUACGGUCAGGGAUCUGUGUCUUUUAAAGUCCUCCAGGUAAUUCAGUCAGUUACUGACCUGUCCUUGUCAAUGCUUCCCAGUGAAGAGAGUACAGGCUACAUGUCCCAGGUACAUAUCCCUUCCCUUUAGACAGCAGUCAUCACUGACGUCUUCUGAGUACCAGUGCUGUGCCAGACACUGAGGCAUUCUACGUGUUACUGUAAGGCAAACAGCAUCCCGGCAGGGCAGGCCUCGCCAAUGUGCUCACUGAGCUCGGUGUCCUCUGGAGUGACUGACUUAUUCAAUGUCAUAUUGCUGGUAAAUGUCAGAACUAGGAUCUGAAUGCAGUCAUAAACUCCCUGAGCCUCUGUUUUCUUCUCUGAAAAAAAAAAAAAAUGGUGACAUGAUUUUAUUGAAUUGUUUUGAAUGUUCAAUACAAUUUUAUGUAAAGCACUUAGCAGAGACUUUUAUUUCCAGCAAUAAGGUGGACUAUAUAUGUUCAGAAAAACUCUUGUGUACAAAACAGCUAGAAAUGCUAG
rnacentral:lncRNA from 1 species